AUUGAACGCUGGCGGCAGGCCUAACCCAUGCAAGUCGAGCGAGCGGCGGACGGGUGAGUAAUGUAUGGGGCCUGCCCGCUAGAGGGGGAUAACUACUGGAAACGGUGGCUAAUACCGCAUACUAUCGGAUAACCCAUAUGGGAUUAUCUUGUAGGUGGGGUAAAGGCUCACCUAGGCGACGAUCUCUAGCUGGUCUGAGAGGAUGAUCAGCCACACUGGGAAUGAGACACGGCCCAGACUACGACGGAGGCAGCAGAGGGGAAGAUUGGACAAAGGGCGCAAGCCGGAUGCAGCCAUGCCGCGUGUAUGAAGAAGGCAGUAGGGUUGUAAAGUACUUGCAGCGGGGAGGCGUUACCCGCAGAAGAAGCACCGGCUAACUACGUGCCAGCAGCCGCGGUAAUAC
rnacentral:rRNA from 1 species